rnacentral:sRNA from 1 species
GUCCACGUUGCGGCGGACCAGAGCCAGAAGCCUCCGAGGCCAAUGGCGGCAGCCGGCCGAUAUCUCGUCGUGAUAGUGAUCAGGCCGGCUGC